rnacentral:rRNA from 1 species
GAUGAACGCUGGCGGCGUGCCUAAUACAUGCAAGUCGAGCGAACAGACGCGGAGCUUGCUCCUCUGACGUUAGCGGAGGACGGGUGAGUCACAUGUGGAUAACCUACCUAUAAGACUGGGAUAACUACGGGAAACCGGAGCUAAUACCGGAUAAUAUAUUGAACCGCAUUGUUCAAUAGUGAAAGACGGUUUUGCUGUCACUUAUAGAUGGAUACGGGCCGCAUUAGCUAGUUGGUAAGGUAACGGCCUACCAAGGCAACGAUGCGUAGCCGACCUGAGAGAGUGGUCGGCCACACGGGAGCUGAGACGCGGUCCAGACUCCUGCGAGAGGCAGCAGUAGGGAAUCUUCCGCAAUGGGCGAGAGCCUGACGGAGCAGCGCCGCGUGAGUGAUGAAGGUCUUCGGAGCGGAAAACUCUGUUAUGAGGGGAGAACAAAUGUGUAAGUAACUGUGCACGUAGUGACGGUACCGGGUCAGAAAGCCACGGCUAACUACGUG